GUGGGGAAUAUUGGACAAUGGGCGCAAGCCUGAUCCAGCAAUGCCGCGUGAGUGAUGAAGGCCUUCGGGUCGUAAAGCUCUUUUACCAGGGAUGAUAAUGACAGUACCUGGAGAAUAAGCUCCGGCUAACUCCGUGCCAGCAGCCGCGGUAAUACGGAGGGAGCUAGCGUUGUUCGGAAUUACUGGGCGUAAAGCGCGCGUAGGCGGUCUACCAAGUCAGGGGUGAAAUCCCGGGGCUCAACCCCGGAACUGCCCUUGAAACUAUUAGACUAGAAUCUUGGAGAGGUCAGUGGAAUUCCGAGUGUAGAGGUGAAAUUCGUAGAUAUUCGGAAGAACACCAGUGGCGAAGGCGACUGACUGGACAAGUAUUGACGCUGAGGUGCGAAAGCGUGGGGAGCAAACAGG
rnacentral:rRNA from 1 species